rnacentral:rRNA from 1 species
CAUGGAGGGUGAGAAUCCCGUCCGGUUGAUCGUGAGCGCACUACGAUACGCUUUCAAAGAGUCAAGUUGUUUGGGAUUGCAGCUUAAAAUGGGAGGUAAAUUUCUCCUAAGGCUAAAUAACGGCGAGAGACCGAUAGCGAACAAGUACCGUGAGGGAAAGAUGAAAAGAACUUUGAAAAGAGAGUUAAACAGUACGUGAAAUUGUUGAAAGGGAAACGAUUGAAGCCAGUCGUACCUUCGGGUAAUCAGCCUUUUGGGUGUGAUUUUGUGGAGUGUGAGGAGUUAAACGCCUUCAUGCCUGCAUAUUCGUGCACUUUGGGUGUACUUGCUCGUGUGGUAAGUUAACAUCAAUUUUGGUUAUCAUAAAAUGGCUGGAGGAAUGUAGCUUCGAUCUCGUAUUGAAGUGUUAUAGCCUUCGGUAGAUGUGAUGAUCGGGAUUGAGGAUUGCAACGGAUACCCUUCGGGGCUACCCGUCUGAUCUCUGAGGGUUGCAUCGGUGCCGAAAGCGUGCUUACGGUUAUCGAUAGUGAUGGUCAAAAGGUUAGAACGGGUUAAAUUCGUUAAGGAUGUUGACGUAAUGG